GACGAACGCUGGCGGCGUGCUUAACACAUGCAAGUCGAACGGAAAGGCCCUGCUUUUGUGGGGUGCUCGAGUGGCGAACGGGUGAGUAACACGUGAGUAACCUGCCCUUGACUUUGGGAUAACUUCAGGAAACUGGGGCUAAUACCGGAUAGGAGCUCCUGCUGCAUGGUGGGGGUUGGAAAGUUUCGGCGGUUGGGGAUGGACUCGCGGCUUAUCAGCUUGUUGGUGGGGUAGCGGCUUACCAAGGCUUUGACGGGUAGCCGGCCUGAGAGGGUGACCGGCCACAUUGGGACUGAGAUACGGCCCAGACUCCUACGGGAGGCAGCAGUGGGGAAUAUUGCACAAUGGGCGGAAGCCUGAUGCAGCAACGCCGCGUGCGGGAUGACGGCCUUCGGGUUGUAAACCGCCUUCGCCUGUGACGAAGCGUGAGUGACGGUAAUGGGUAAAGAAGCACCGGCUAACUACGUG
rnacentral:rRNA from 1 species